GAGCACAUAGCCACUGCAACAGCAGCAUUGAUCCUCUAUACAUUGCGCAAUUGGACGACGGUUGGGAGUAAAAAGGAACAUCACCAAGUGUACCAUAACCAAGUAAAUUAAAUCUCCACAUGAACUACCAUUCUCUCAAAGCUAUCUAGCUCACCUGCAAAAAAAAAAACCUAUCUAGCUAUUUCAAUGUUACGCCCUCUACUUGUGCGAUUUCACAAGUGGCAAACAUCAUCUGUUUCAGAAGCAUGCUAAGAUAUCGAUAUCUGCAAAAAAGAACACGGACAACAGUUCGAAUCACCAUGACUCCAUUUGUUGCAUUUUUUUCUUCUUCUUCUAGGACUGGCCUCGUCUUGUUUGUCUCUCGUCGCGAUGCACCUGUGAGCAUCAGUAACAUUGUCCAGUUAAUAAACCUAUAUGAUAAUGAAUUACCAACAAUCGUUAGUCAUAGUCAAGCUACACCGGUUCGAGCAUGUUCUGUCCAUUAACGCAUAGUGUAUAAAAAGUUUUUACAUAUUUAUUAUGCAUGUCAGAACGCCUUCUCUAGUAAAAGCUAAGUGGCAAUUUGUUGCUACUUCUUUAGUUUAAUCAUUGACACAACAUCCUUUUACCAAUCUAGCACCGCAUCAUCAUAACAACGCCUUAAAAAUUUGUGAUAAGAGUGUGGCGCUUCUCCUGGUUCUUAGCUCAACCCCCAUACUCUGGUUUGGUUAACACUUAGAGGAUUUAUUUUAAAUUUUACUGAUAUUUGUUUUAGCUAUGCUCAAACAUCAUAUAUCAAGAUAAAAGAUAGACAACCAUUAGCUUACUACAAUAUAAAAUUAUGAAGUAAUGGGUCCUGUUUACCAAGCAGAAAUGAGGAGCCCCCAGAUCCUAAAAUUGAGAUGCAACUACCACAGUUCUCAUUUACUGCUGGGAUUAGUUUGAGGGGAACUACCCAACUGAAUAAACUUUUUUGGAGACAGCAAGGGGCCGAGGAAGAGCAAGAUGCUCCUGCUUAUGUAGUAGGGGCAGAAACUGAAGAAAAGAACUAGGAAUACAAAGUAAGCCUAUUUUGCAUACUGGAACUAGGAAGUGUGAAACAUUAAUACAUUAUAGUGAAUUGCAAACUAAAUACAUGUAGCUAUUGGGUGAAGAGAUGGAUCUAGUGUAAAUCAUAAUUUUCCAACUAAAAAAGGUCAUUGGAUUUUAGGAUGCUACCAGGCUUGCACCCGCCUCCAAUCCCAUUUGUUAUCUUGUCCUCAAUUAUUCACCUAAAUCUUUCCAACCUAAUUGGCAGGACCAUUUGACUACUCACGUGGCUGUCUUUCCAUUACCAAACGGCCAUGGCUACAGGUUUUGAGGUUUAUACUAGAAGGAAAUUUCACCAACUGCUAUGAUUGAUGUCAGUUUGCUGAGAAUGCGACGAGUUACUGAACAAAAGUCAAGCUCUGAAGAUACUGAUUAUACUAUUUGCAUGCUUAUAAGAUAUGGAUAAUGCCCUUACCAUAUUAUUCUAGCCCUACCACAGCAGCAGUUUAUCGUCAACUCCACAUAGUGUUGGGUCACCUUUAUUUCCCCGUGCUUGGUCAACUCUACAUAGUGUUGGGUAUUGGGGUAAGAAAACAUAAGACAUUUACACAAAUAUGUACACUAUAAUUCCAUACCUAUGUUCUUCAAUAUGCUCUUCGGACAGCAUAAUCUCCACUUCCUCCCCACAGGCAGCACAUAUUUUAACCUCCUC
rnacentral:lncRNA from 1 species